UCUCUUUCUCUCCCUAAACAGCGGAAGAACGAAUCGCUUUCCGGUUUAGAUUCUUCCCUUCCUGUCGCGCAUUGCGAACCUCCAAUUGCCGCUCGGAUCGCUGAAGAAAGGGCGGUACUAAACCGUAGCCCUAGGACGCAAACGAUCUCCUACCACCUGCGGAAGGUUGGGGAACUGCGUGCCCUUCCCUCUCGACCGUCGCAAUGAGCCGCCCAUCGAUGACACCACAAAAGAGGGCACAACCUGACUCACAAAGUCAACCUCCUUCUCUACCUGAAAACGAGCGGAUUCUCUAUGAAUUGAUCAAAAGCAGAAAGAACAUGGGGAUUUGGACAGCUGACAUGAAAAAAGAAACAGGUCUUCAGAAUAUUGUUGUUACUAAGGCUCUCAAAUCACUCCAGAACAAGAACCUCAUAAAAGAUGUUGUUAAUGUUCACAAUAAGGCAAGAAAAAUUUUCAUGGCUGUAGAGUUUGAACCAUCAAAGGAAGUAUCUGGUGGUUCAUGGUAUUCAGAAGGAAGCCUUGAUACGGAGUUCAUUAAUAUUUUGAGGAAGAUGUGCUUGAAGCACAUUGAAGAGCUCAAGGUUGCGCCCAUCGAAGAUAUCUGGAAAUCCAUUUCAGCCUCAGGAGUGCUGAAGGUGGCGUGUACCAUGCAGCAGGUGCUGGAGAUUGUGCGUGCAUUGGCUUUGGACAAGGAGAUUGAGGAAUUGAAGAGCACUGGAGUAGGUGAGUUCUCUACGGUUCAAACUGGAAAGGUGUGCUACAGGAGUUUGAGAGGUAGAGAAGCUCCCAGAGUUGGUCACUUAUCGUCGAUUCCUUGUGGAGUGUGCCCGCGGAUAAGCGAGUGCACGCCUGAUGGUGUUAUAUCACCAAAGACCUGUGUGUAUUACAACAAAUGGCUCAAACUGGAGUUCUAGAUUCAAACUGGUUGUUGAGGUCGUUGUCUACACUGUCAUCCAAAACUUUGCUAAGAAUGGAUAGUUGACUCGAAAAGCUUCAUAAGAUCAUACCAUUCUAUACUGUGGUAAAUCUCUUCAGCCUAGUUGGUUUAGGCCUUGAUUCCUGAUGGUAAGGUCUUGAUUUGAAAUCUGCUUUCGUCAAAUUACUUUUAUUCAUGAUCUUGAGCCUUGGUAGCACUGCAAAUAAAGGAAAUGAUGAUGCAUGUACAGGGACAUAUUGCAAAUUGUGUAGCUUAUGUUGGACUGUCCCAGUCAAGAUAAGGAAAUAAUGAUGCAUGGAAUUGGCUUGCUUCAAAAAACCUAGAAAGAGAAUGUAAACUGAGGAUAACAAUCUAUUGACAUAGAAAGAGAAUGUAACUAAGCAUUACAAAGAAAGCUUAGACUAUCUGGUCAUUUCCAAUGCUUUCCAUUUUAUUGGAAGUGGAAACACCCACUGUACAAGUGUGCAUAGAAUAUCUGGAGUGAAUGCAAUUUAUCAUCUCUUGCAGCCAAUGCCAGAUGACCAAUCAACUUGCACAGAAGCUAAACAUGAUCAAACAAGCUAAGGUUAGUAUAGACUAGUUCUGUCUUGAUCAAAGAAUCCUAUGUUUUUGUUUGCACUCAAUUGGCCACCGGCAACAGCAAUCUUUUCUGCCCCAAGAAGAAGGUUAUCUCACAUGCUUUAUACAAAAUUUGGACAGGAAGCAAAUCAAGAAUUUACUGACUGGUGCUAAGAUUCCAAGGAGGAAGUCACAGAUUCACCCAAGUAUUCCUACCUAUGGAAUAUGACUGCUCCUGAAAAAUGCUUGUGAAUGGUGAGUUGUGUUUCCCGGUUAAAAGAAGUCCUGAAUUGUCAUUCCUUGGACAGCUUUCUUGACGCUGUUCUCUUCCUUCUGCCUAUGUUAGAGGCGUUGUACUAGAGAAGUUCAAGAAAGCUGUUGAAGGGAAUGGUUGUACAAUGCACUAUAUCUUUCUAAGCAUCCAUUUGUUCUGUUAAA